AGCUUUGCACAGUGGUAGUAUCAUAGCCUAAGACGGUUUACUGAGGAGUGAUUAUUGUUAUUUGAAAACUUUUACCAAUGCCCUGUUAAGUCUGUUUUUGAUGGACAUGACAAUUUUUUACUGUCUCUCUGGAGA